ACUUUGAUUAUGGCUCACCUGAUCGACAGCGACCUGGCGGCGUGCCUAAUACAUGCAAGUCGAACGCUUCUUUUUCCACCGGAGCUUGCUCCACCGGAAAAAGAAGAGUGGCGAACGGGUGAGUAACACGUGGGUAACCUGCCCAUCAGAAGGGGAUAACCACUUGGAAACAGGUGCUAAUACCGUAUAACAAUCGAAACCGCAUGGUUUUGAUUUGAAAGGCGCUUUCGGGUGUUCGCUGAUGGAUGGACCCGCCGGUGCAUUAGCUAGUUGGUGGAGGUAACGGCUCACCAAGGCCACGAUGCAUAGCCGACCUGAGAGGGUGAUCGGCCACAUUGGGACUGAGACACGGCCCAAACUCCUACGGGAGGCAGCAGUAGGGAAUCUUCGGCAAUGGACGAAAGUCUGACCGAGCAACGCCGCGUGAGUGAAGAAGGUUUUCGGAUCGUAAAACUCUGUUGUUAGAGAAGAACAAGGAUGAGAGUAACUGUUCAUCCCUUGACGGUAUCUAACCAGAAAGCCACGGCUAACUACGUGCCAGCAGCCGCGGUAAUACGUAGGUGGCAAGCGUUGUCCGGAUUUAUUGGGCGUAAAGCGAGCGCAGGCGGUUUCUUAAGUCUGAUGUGAAAGCCCCCGGCUCUACCGGGGAGGGUCAUUGGAAACUGGGAGACUUGAGUGCAGAAGAGGAGAGUGGAAUUCCAUGUGUAGCGGUGGAAUGCGUAGAAUAUAUGGAGGAACACCAGUGGCGAAGGCGGCUCUCUGGACUGUAACUGACCGCUGAGGCUCGAAAGCGUGGGGGGAGCAAACAGGAUUAGAUACCCUGGUAGUCCACGCCGGUAAACGAUUGAGUGCUAAGUGUUGGAGGGUUUCCGCCCUUCAGUGGCUGCAGCUAACGCAUUAAGCACUCCGCCUGGGGAGUACGACCGCAAGGUUGCAACUCAAACGAAUUGACGGAAGGGCGAAU
rnacentral:rRNA from 1 species